rnacentral:rRNA from 1 species
GAUGAACGCUGGCGGCGUGCCUAAUACAUGCAAGUCGAGCGAACGGACGAGAAGCUUGCUCCUCUGACGUUAGCGGCGGACGGGUGAGUAACACGUGGAUAACCUACCUAUAAGACUGGGAUAACUUCGGGAAACCGGAGCUAAUACCGGAUGAUAUAUUGAACCGCAUGGUUCAAUAGUGAAAGACGGUUUUGCUGUCACUUAUAGAUGGAUCCGCGCUGCAUUAGCUAGUUGGUAAGGUAACGGCUUACCAAGGCAACGAUGCAUAGCCGACCUGAGAGGGUGAUCGGCCACACUGGAACUGAGACACGGUCCAGACUCCUACGGGAGGCAGCAGUAGGGAAUCUUCCGCAAUGGGCGAAAGCUUGACGGAGCAACGCCGCGUGAGUGAUGAAGGUCUUCGGAUCGUAAAACUCUGUUAUUAGGGAAGAACAAAUGUGUAAGUAACUAUGCACAUCUUGACGGUACCUAAUGAGAAAGCCACGGCUAACUACGUG